rnacentral:rRNA from 1 species
AACGCGUGGGAACAUACCCUUUUCUAAGGAAUAGCCACUGGAAACGGUGAGUAAUACCUUAUACGCCCUUCGGGGGAAAGAUUUAUCGGAGAAGGAUUGGCCCGCGUUAGAUUAGAUAGUUGGUGGGGUAACGGCCUACCAAGUCUACGAUCUAUAGCUGGUUUGAGAGGAUGAUCAGCAACACUGGGACUGAGACACGGCCCAGACUCCUACGGGAGGCAGCAGUGGGGAAUCUUAGACAAUGGGCGCAAGCCUGAUCUAGCCAUGCCGCGUGAGUGAUGAAGGCCUUAGGGUCGUAAAGCUCUUUCGCCAGAGAUGAUAAUGACAGUAUCUGGUAAAGAAACCCCGGCUAACUCCGUGCCAGCAGCCGCGGUAAUACGGAGGGGGUUAGCGUUGUUCGGAAUUACUGGGCGUAAAGCGCACGUAGGCGGAUCAGUCAGUUAGAGGUGAAAUCCCA